UUAACCCUAGAAAGAUAAUCAUAUUGAGUAGUACGGGAAAGAUAGUCAUGCGUCAAAUUUACGCAUGUUUUUUAGUUAGCUCAAAGUCGAGAAGGCCUCCUCAGUACUUUCUUAUGAUGUACCAGAUACUUCAUUUGGCAACAAAUUGGAGAUAUUAUCACGCAAAUAUCUUAUCUAAGCUGGUGAUUCUAAAAACCCACGCAUAAACAAAGAAGACAGUUCCAUGCUUCUAUAUUUCAUGUUUUUUGGACUCAGAUAUUUUUGUGCUUUGUAGUUAACAUUGUGGCUAUAAAUUUAAUAUGCAAUA